rnacentral:lncRNA from 1 species
UUUUUGUAAUCCAUGAUUGAAUUUUUUGUUUUUUUUGUUUGUUUUUUUUUGUAAUCCAUGAUCGAAUUUUAUGUAAUCCAUGAUCGAAUUUUAUGUAAUCCAUGAUUGAAUUUUUUGAAAAUUUGUGAUUUUUUUUUUUUAAUCCAUGAUUGAAUUUUUUUUUGUAAUCCAUGAUAGAAUUUUUUGAAAAUUUGUGAUUUUUUUUUUAAUCCAUGAUCGAUUUUUUUGAAAAUUUGUUAUUUUUUUUUUAAUCCAUAUUAUUCAAAAAGAAAAUGAGAGAGAUGAUGAUUCUGAGGCCACCCUAUCCCAGCCAUAUUAUUCACAUAUCGAGUCCCAACAGCAACAGUGUAG